CCUACGGGGGGCUGCAGUAAGGAAUAUUGGUCAAUGGACGAAAGUCUGAACCAGCCAUCCCGCGUGCAGGAUGAAAGCCCUAUGGGUUGUAAACUGCUUUUAGCAGAGAAGAAAAGCUUUCAUUAAUGAGAGUCUGACGGUAUCUGCAGAAUAAGCACCGGCUAACUCCGUGCCAGCAGCCGCGGUAAUACGGAGGGUGCGGGAGUUAUCCGGAAUUACUGGGUUUAAGGGGUACGAUGACGUCAUAGGUGAAAUCUUGUCGCGUAACGAUAAAAUUGCAAAGGAUACUGGUACUCGUGAAUUGGGUUGAGGUUAGCGGAAUGUGACAUGUAGCGGUGAAAUGCAUAGAUAUGUCAUGGAACACCAAUUGCGAAGGCAGCUAACUGGGCCUUGAUUGACGCUGAGGCACGAAAGCGUGGGUAGCGAACAGGAUUAGAUACCCCAGUAGUC
rnacentral:rRNA from 1 species